AUGAUCUUGGCUCACUGCAGCCUCCGCCUCCCAAGUUCAAGUGAUUCUCCUGCCUCAGCCUCCUGUACGAGUUCAACUUUAUCAGAUUCCAUGUGCACACAGCUGGGGGACAUCUCCCAGGCUCCCCUGCAGCCAGGUGUGGUCAUGCCAUUGAGGUCCAGCCAGCGAAGCAUGGGCAGAAGUAACAUGUGCCUCUGUCGGCCUGGCCAUUAAGAUCCCUGCAUGAAGUGGAGAUGACACCCAGUGAGACCUUGGAAGUCACAUGAUGAAGAGGCCAGAGCUUUUGUCAGGCAGUGUGGAGGAGGAGCAUCCUGAUGACCCACUCACCCCUCGACAGUUGUGUUUGACUGUGGACCUGUUUUCUCUUUGGCCACUCUGGGCUCAUUUGCAGUUAUAACCUCAUUGCUUCUGCUUGAGCUGUCCUUCCUUUAUCUCAGAUCAUGAGAUCAAGCAUGCCUAAAUUUUCUCCAAGUACCUUGGGAUUCUGAACUCUUGGUACAGAGUCAAGCUGUCCCAGGCUCCUGGAAUGGCAGGGAGCUUUCUGUCACUCUCAUCUUGCCUUUUCCCCUAGCAGUGCAGAAUUAGAUCCAAAAUGGUGCUUCUCUUCAUCAUUCUCUCUGCUUUCUGAGAAAUGGAAUUUUCAUUUUGGUAAGAAUUUGAUAGAAAUGGUAUUUGAAAUUUUAAUAGAAUUGAGAAAAAACAUUCAUAGCCACAGUUGUCUGGUAUGUAAUGAAGGUAGAUCUUGCUGAAUGAAACAUCCUUCUCUGCUACUUGGUGGGUUUAAAUGGCCGAGUUCGGUAGUAGGAACGGUAGAGAAAUAAAUGACUCUACAGAAUAAAGGGGGAAGGAUGUGGAGUUCUGGAAGCAAUACCAAAGGGAAGGAGUAAGGAGGAGAGAUGGGAGAAUGAGGAGAGCAGGCUGGACCACUCCAUGAGGGGAACCAGCCUAAAAUCCUCAUGGGACCGGUUGGCUCAAGAGCUUCUGAGAACAGUGUCUAAUAUUUUAUUUGAGUUGUUGAAUAGAUCUCCACUCCCUUGAGGGGUUAGUACUGGGCUGGACAGGUGUUGGGGUUUACUUGGGUGGUGGCAAAAUAUUAGGGAAAGUUAGAAGAUUAUAGUCUCAAACCUUUGGGAAGGUCAAAAGUUCUGAUGGAACAGGCUGAUGGCAGCCAGUGUUAGAAUUAAGUCAUAGGGUAAAAGAACAAUAAAGUUACCCCAGCUAAGUCUGUUUACCCCACAUUCCUUUGUCUCUACUCUAUUGUUUGCUGAUGUAAACUUUGUGCUGAUGGUCCUCUCAGGGAGAUGUCAAAGGGGAAUUGCCUGUUAACAGUGUUUACUCUGGGCCCUGGAACCAAAAGCUUUUAUCAUUCGUAAAACCACUCUUUUAACCGUGUUAAUUAUCCACAAGUGUGUUACUUAAAACUUCUGUUAUGAAAUUUAUACUGAAUAAAUGUGAGGAUGGAGAGGGAGUCUUGGUCAGUUGGCUGCCAUCAGCCUCCGUAAGCAGCUGACGACCGUCCCUAACCCACCUGAAUCACUGAAUCAGAUGUGAGAGUGCAUUUAUUCAUCCGGCCUUGAGUCAGGGUCUGCAGGACAGACCUCCACAGGUGGUGUCAACAUCUCAGGUGGUGACCCUCAUGUGAACAAGGUCAUAGGUGGUACCUCGUGUAGGGGACCCCAUGUGAGGUGACCCGAUGUGACACUUGCCACAGCUGGUGCCUGAACGGGGACCCACAGACAUGAUCAAGGUCUCAGACAGGGACACCACACAGAUGCUGAGACAGUCCACAAGCUGAAUUCUCCAGAUGCAGGGGCUGAGAACCAGCAGUGACUAUACGUGUGAGCCUCUGCCCGCCUUCUGCCCUGGCCUGCCUCCUGAGAACUUGCCAAACUUUCGAGAAGGAAUUUAGACUUCCAAAGGAUGGUGAAUAGAAGUUUGAACCAAUCUUAUCUAGGGAGGCUCCCAUUGACAUCCAAAUUAUGUAAUAAUCAUGGCCACUAGUAAAAUACUACUACUAUUACUAUCACAAAAAUAAGAAAUUAAGUAGUUAGGUCAGGAAUUUGGCCCGUUCCAACACUGAGGCCAGAGAGAUUACACCGUGUACCUGAGGGACGCUCUGCUCUUGUUCUCAGGUUCUCUGGCUCCUAUUCCUUGUGUCCUCAGUCCUUGCCUGUGAAGAGAGUGCAGUGAGCAGGGUAGCUCCUCACCCUCCUCCUCAGGUACCAGGUGCUCCUGGGCCCUCAAGGUCUCAGCUCUUCCUUGAGCAGCUCCUUCAGGGGCUGUUGGUUUUAUCAAUGACUCAUCUGUCAAAGAGCUGAGCUCAGGGGUACAUAUUGGGGGAGUGAGUUUCCUACUACCUUGGAGACGGUUUUUUUCCUAAUAAGGGGAAGCAUGUGAGAAAUAAGUUCAUUAAUAAGUUCAUCAUCGGUCAUAAAAAUAUUUCAUCUGUUGGCAGAAGGCCUAAAUCUUCGUUCCCAUGAAAGAUUUACUCCUCAAACCAGAUGGAUGAACUAAAGGUUAUGAGACAUUGGGGCCAUCUGGCAGCUAUGGAGAAAGAGUCUGUGGAUCUGACCUACCAUUCUCCUCCUGUCCAGAUAAGGAUGUGUGUUUGUGUGUUGACUGGUGAGGACAGGAGGAGGUUUCCUGAGUACAGAGUGCCAAAGCGUAAAGCCUGAGAUAAAAAGUCAUAAAUAGACCUAGAGCCUGACCCAGUGUCCUUGGGCUGGUAAGACUUGCAGGCCAGGUCCCAGUUGGGGAGGGGGGACUGGGGCUGAGCAGCUGCUGUGGAAAUUUCCAUGGGCUGUCCACUAGCUCUUGGUAAGCUCUUGCACUCGGCAUGGCAUGGGCAGGACAUGGGUUAUGAAAGAGGCACAAGACUUAGUCCAAGCUUAUAAGGAGCUAGGCCCCUAGAGAAAAGACUCUUGCCAAAGAAGCAAGUAAAUAAACAGCUUAGAAAAUCUUGAAACAAAGUUGUAAAUAAGGUCAAGGCAUGGAACCAGUCAAGAAAAGUCAGUAUCACUUUCCAAUUAUUAGAACCUCGUUUCACCUUCUCAGGAAAAUGCUGAAAAUAUGAACUUCGCAUUAAGGUAAAAGUGGAUUUCAUCAUUUUAAAUACUAAUAAAGAGGUCACAAACAAUAUAUUAGUUUUUUUUUUAAGAAAAAUAAUUUUUUUACAGGAGUUUUAAAAUGUGUUUUAUAUUGAGUGGUUAUUUCAUGUUUUCUUAAUUGUACUGAACUAAAAAUAAACUAGGUAGUUUGUUCACAUAACAAAUAUACACUCAAAGACGUGCGUACAAAUUUUCCACUUGUCCAUUUUUCUUUUCUCAGCGUUACUUCAAAUGCCUCAUUCCCAUCAUGUUGAAUUGUUCAGCAUCUUUUGUAUCAUUUCCAGGGCGUCUCUGGGAGUAGCGAUGCCUGUCUUCCCCCAGCACACUGAUAACUCCAACAUACCCACAAUUCACACCUCCUCUUUUCUCUGAUGUGUGCCACUUUUUGGCACAACAGAAAAAACACACUACUAGGAUUUGAAAAACUAAAUUCUGGGCCAGCUUAGGUCAUAUACUACAGAAACCUUAGGUCAUAUAUUCUCCCCAGGCACGUUUCUCCACUGCAAAAAAUAAUUCAUAUUUGCUUGGUUCUUUGUAGUCCUUUACUAUUUCAGGGAUCUUCAUGAUAAAACUUAAAUUUAAGUAAGGUAGCAUUAUGCUCAUUUUAUAGAAGAAAUUCCAUCUCAAAGAGGAUAUAGUCUCCCAAAGAUCCCACAAGUAGUAAUAUAUUAGGCAGAGCUAAACUCACACACUCUCGCUCAAGAUCCUAGUACCGGUACAUGCCAUGCUAGUAAGUUUGCUGAAAUGGAUGAAGCAGCGAUUUUUCAGGUCCCUUCCUACGAUCCUGUUCUCUGCUUCUCCUUGCUAUUUUUUCUCUCCUCUCUCAACUACUGUUAACAUCCAAAACUAUAUAUAAUCACCAAAUUUCAUUUACCAUGGUUUUUUGAUUUAAUCUUAAAAUUUUUCCAUUUCCAUGUUAAAUCUAGAGAAACGUUACUUUUUCAAGUUUCUACUGCUGCCUGCCUCUCUGAAGGCCAAUGGGACCUACCUAUUUGUUUGCCAAAGCAGAAAUUCCCAACAUUUUGUAAACACCACUAAUUACUUUUUAUAACUGUAAAGACAGUUAUUCCAUACUUAAAGCCAAUUCAAAAUAAAAUAAAUCCUCAAUACUUUCUAUUCCCUGGAGUAGUAAUUUUAGUUAGAUUCUAUUGAUUUAUUAUUUUCUCCUGUGUGCCUUUAUUUGAGAAACACUGUUAGUCUACUUUGCUAUCAAGUCUCAUUCCCUAACAAGAAAAUGUCAGUCUUAAGAGUCAGGAAAGCUUUUACUUUCAUAUAUCACAUAUGAAGAAUGAACUAAACAUCAAACUUGGAAAGUAAAACUUAAAUGAGGGAUUCAGGACAUUUCCCAAGGGGUCAUAUGACCAAUUUAAAAGUGGGUUUUGAUGUGCCUAAAAUAACAAAUUAACUCUUUUUCUUAAAGGUACAGAUGUGCUGAUUAGUCAUGCUGACAUGUACGUAUGAAAUAUGCCGAAACCAAAUUAAAAGAAAACAAAAUACAUUCUUUGGCAAUCUUGAAAAGUCAGAGAGCUUGAUAAAUAUUAAUAGUAUGCUCUCACAAUGAGAGCAUUAAACACUUGGUAAAUUAACAUAAUUUAAUAAAAAAUGAAAAAAUAUACAGGAAGAGGGGUAAGGAGUACACAUAGGACUUUUUGGGACUUUCUUCAUUUUGAUUGUAUUGCUUUCUUCAGGAGGGAAGAUUUUGACUUCAAAAAUAACAAAAUAUUUAAGAAGGGAA
ensembl:lncRNA